CCCCCCCGGUGUGCUCUCGGGGUGCAGCCUGUGUGGUCCGGAGUCAGACGAGGUGGGGCUGCUGGCUGCCAGGGCCUCUGUGUUUGGACCAAGACACCAAACCCCCAGGGCUCCGGCUCCUUAUCGGGGAGAGGCAGAACCCGGCACCGCCACCCACAUCACGGGGCCGGGAGGGCCUCUGCAGCGGCGGGGGCGCAAGGCUGACAAUCGGGAGGAAACGGGCUAAGUCCCGACAUACAGGGAAGCAUGUCACCCUGGCUCCUGGGCCAGGCACAGCCUGGCGACAGGCUCACGUGGCCGCCCCCCACCCGGGCCCACAGAACCGCAACCAGGCUGCAGAGAAGAGCCCCAAGCGAGGAAGCAGGAACCCCGAGGCUCCCAGAAACACGUCUGCUUCUUGCCAAACAACUUCCUGCCAUGAAAAGAUGCCCUUUAAUGGUUUGGAGUCUCGUAUGUGGAAGUGAAGACUAGUCAGGGGUCAGGGGACACAGCUGUCAUGGCAGUUUCCCAAAAUAUCCCAUCUCCCCCCGCCAAAAACCAGGGCAAAGGUGACAAAUAGGGAAACAAAGGGCAGGACCCGAAUCACAGGCCCUGAGCGGGCUGCCUGCUAGCAAGACGCAAGCUCUGCCUCCCCCGGCGACCCCCACUCAGCUCCGGGCCCCGCAGGCCUCCGCCCCUCAGUGCUGCCCCUUCCUCCCUUGGAGCAGGUGGCAGGGCAGGCAAUCUGUUCUGCGGGGGCCACGGCCGGUCUAACGUUUCCCUCUGCCUGAGACGGCCGGUGCACAAACCUAGGUUGGCACAAAGCUCACACCAGUAAAGGAGAACCCCCAUGGAUGUCAGGACAGCAUCCCAGGAUUGGGCCAAGAAGUGCUGUCGACUGAAUUGGGAGCCAGCCAAGAUAAGGACCUGAGGCCCAGCAUCCCUGAAGACAGUGAGCAGCCACGUGAGAUGCCUGGGCCUUAAGAGUCACAGGACACACGCGAUUCCACUCAAGAUAUCGCACGUUCUACUACUUCUAAACAUGGAGACAAAGCCAACUCGUUAUUUUUAAAGCUGCCCUGGAGCAGCUAUGUUCCAAACAAAACUGCAAAUAAAAAAACGUAGGUUUUCAUGAGUGUAAAACAAGUGCUAUCACACAUUCGAUUUGCUUCAGAAGCACAUGGCGAGGGGGCAGAUGUGAGCUGGUGGAGGGAAAUGGGAAGGUGAGCAGGAGCCCAGACUUGGGGCCUCGCCCCCACCCCUGCCGUGGACUGACAGAGUGUGGGCCUGACUCACAGCCUAGGUGAGGCGCCCGUGGCGGGCCUGUGUGAGGAGCAGGCCAAACCCAGCGGACACGGAUCCGGUUUUCGUGGCUCCCCUUUGGUGUACUGCUGAAAUUUACCCUUGGAUUCAAGCUUACUUUUUAAUCCUUUGUUUUCAAAAAACUAUUAAAAAGACAAAAGUAGGUGAAUGUGGGAACCCGGACUGAUUCUCACGAGGACUCUGCCAGAUGGUGAUUCAUGCGCAAUAUGUGGAAAUAGGAAAUAGGAGACAUCUGGAAAAAAUCUUGGCAUUAAAGACAGCAGAAAAAACAUGGAAAAGGAAAACUGUGUGUUUUAACCCACACAGCCAGCUAGUGGGAGGAGAAAGGACAUACCUUCGGGGCCCUGCAGUGAACACCAGUGGCCCCCAAAGUGACUAAAGCAGAUAUGUGGUGUGUUGGAAUCCAUUAUAUGGCAAAAAUAAAGUAGCAUUUCUCAGAGGUUCCCAUUUAAAAAUACCUAGAACAAGGGAAGCUGGCUGGGGAAGAGAAUGUUUGGACAAGGCUUGCAAUGGUACGUGUGUCAGGAAAAGCAGCUGACAGCACCUGGACCAUUAGAGAACCUGGAGGGGAGGUGGGUCCCCUUAUAUUUGAAGGGAGACAGAUUCUGGAAAUGAAUGGUACCACAAUGUUGACUAGAAAUUGGACGAUAUUCCCGACCUCCCAAGUGAGGACGUGUCAUCUCCCUCCAGCAGAGCAUCCUAAACCUACAGCCAGUUUGGGCUCUCUGCAGUUCCGGUCCUGGGGGGGCUUCUGCCACAGGAGGGGCAGGCGGGCCUGUCUGGGCUUCUGGCCCUCACUGCGAGUGGACGUCAGCUGGACAGCACAUGCCUCCAUCUUCGAGUCUCGAGUCCACCCAGACCCAGACCCACAAGCAGACUGACUGUUCCUUCCUCUCUAUCAGGUCGAGACCUAGCUACGCCUGAAACGACAUAUACAUAUAAGACUUUCUAAUUUUCCUAAGCGGUUUUUAGGUCCGUGCCUUUGACUUGAUCCUUUCAGCAAGGCAGGGGAACUGCAGGUCAAAGGCCAAUUCCCUUUUUCUUGGGACAACUUGGUCAAAAUGGAGUGCUGAAACCUACUCAGCUAGCAGAUGGUGGAACUCACACAGAAUCAAGGCUUCUAUUCAAAAAAAUGUUCCUUCCUAAAGGCUGCUCCUGAUGUGAGAAAUAAAAGGGGUCUGUGAUCAAACAGUUUUGGGGAACUAUAAAUGAUAUGCUCCUCCUUGAAGGUUCAGAAGCUUAUUAAAGGUUCUAAGAUGUCCUAGAGUGGAAAUAACAAACAUCCAUCCAACCGUAACUCUGUGUUCUCCAGACUUGUUUGUCCUUGGAAAACUCUACCACAUUCUGUCCCAAAGGAAACAUUAAUCAACAUCCUCAAGAUGGCCUGAGGAUCAUGUUUUUGGAAAGACUGAACCAGACACUACUGGCUUUGGGGAAUGCUCGAAACACUUAUAAAAAUAAAGACAGCUAAUUAGUCUCAGGAAUACUAGAAGUAAUUUCAGAUAUGCCAAAAAAAUCAAUAUUAUUGAAUAAACCUCCUUGUAUUUUAUAGAAAGUAGCACUGCUUUCUGCAUUUUGACUUUAUAUAUGUCACAUCUUAGAAA